UUAAGCGUGUAGGCUGGUUUUCCAGGCAAAUCCGGAAAAUCAAGGCUGAGGCGUGAUGACGAGGCACUACGGUGCUGAAGCAACAAAUGCCCUGCUUCCAGGAAAAGCCUCUAAGCAUCAGGUAACAUCAAAUCGUACCCCAAACCGACACAGGUGGUCAGGUAGAGAAUACCAAGGCGCUUGAGAGAACUCGGGUGAAGGAACUAGGCAAAAUGGUGCCGUAACUUCGGGAGAAGGCACGCUGAUAUGUAGGUGAAGCGACUUGCUCGUGGAGCUGAAAUCAGUCGAAGAUACCAGCUGGCUGCAACUGUUUAUUAAAAACACAGCACUGUGCAAACACGAAAGUGGACGUAUACGGUGUGACGCCUGCCCGGUGCCGGAAGGUUAAUUGAUGGGGUUAGCGCAAGCGAAGCUCUUGAUCGAAGCCCCGGUAAACGGCGGCCGUAACUAUAACGGUCCUAAGGUAGCGAAAUUCCUUGUCGGGUAAGUUCCGACCUGCACGAAUGGCGUAAUGAUGGCCAGGCUGUCUCCACCCGAGACUCAGUGAAAUUGAACUCGCUGUGAAGAUGCAGUGUACCCGCGGCAAGACGGAAAGACCCCGUGAACCUUUACUAUAGCUUGACACUGAACAUUGAGCCUUGAUGUGUAGGAUAGGUGGGAGGCUUUGAAGUGUGGACGCCAGUCUGCAUGGAGCCGACCUUGAAAUACCACCCUUUAAUGUUUGAUGUUCUAACGUUGACCCGUAAUCCGGGUUGCGGACAGUGUCUGGUGGGUAGUUUGACUGGGGCGGUCUCCUCCUAAAGAGUAACGGAGGAGCACGAAGGUUGGCUAAUCCUGGUCGGACAUCAGGAGGUUAGUGCAAUGGCAUAAGCCAGCUUGACUGCGAGCGUGACGGCGCGAGCAGGUGCGAAAGCAGGUCAUAGUGAUCCGGUGGUUCUGAAUGGAAGGGCCAUCGCUCAACGGAUAAAAGGUACUCCGGGGAUAACAGGCUGAUACCGCCCAAGAGUUCAUAUCGACGGCGGUGUUUGGCACCUCGAUGUCGGCUCAUCACAUCCUGGGGCUGAAGUAGGUCCCAAGGGUAUGGCUGUUCGCCAUUUAAAGUGGUACGCGAGCUGGGUUUAGAACGUCGUGAGACAGUUCGGUCCCUAUCUGCCGUGGGCGCUGGAGAACUGAGGGGGGCUGCUCCUAGUACGAGAGGACCGGAGUGGACGCAUCACUGGUGUUCGGGUUGUCAUGCCAAUGGCACUGCCCGGUAGCUAAAUGCGGAAGAGAUAAGUGCUGAAAGCAUCUAAGCACGAAACUUGCC
rnacentral:rRNA from 1 species